rnacentral:rRNA from 1 species
UACGUAGGGGGCGAGCGUUGUCCGGAUUUAUUGGGCGUAAAGAGCUCGUAGGCGGCUGUUCGAGUCGGGUGUGAAAUCCUGAGGCUUAACCUUGGGUCUGCAUCCGAUACUGGGCGGCUUGAGUCUGGUAGGGGGAUCUGGAAUUCCUGGUGUAGCGGUGGAAUGCGCAGAUAUCAGGAGGAACACCGGUGGCGAAGGCGGGAUCCUGGGCCAGUACUGACGCUGAGGAGCGAAAGCGUGGGGAGCAAACAGG